UACGUAGGGUGCGAGCGUUGUCCGGAAUUAUUGGGCGUAAAGGGCUCGUAGGCGGUCUGUCACGUCGGGAGUGAAAACCCAGGGCUCAACCCUGGGCCUGCUUCCGAUACGGGCAGACUAGAGGUAUGCAGGGGAGAAUGGAAUUCCUGGUGUAGCGGUGAAAUGCGCAGAUAUCAGGAGGAACACCGGUGGCGAAGGCGGUUCUCUGGGCAUUACCUGACGCUGAGGAGCGAAAGUGUGGGGAGAGAACAGG
rnacentral:rRNA from 1 species